CGCCGCUGCUGGAAGGAGACGAGGGAAGAACCAGACUGGCAGAACGAGACACAACUAACUUCAGAAUGUUCAAAGCUUCCUUCCAGUGCGCCGUCUGGAAUGCAUACACACACAUAAACAAACCACAUGCAGGCUUCAGCUAUGUGGAGGCUGGCCAAGAGGGCAGAGUGUUUACAGAGAGUUGCUGGGUGUGUCUCUGAAUUUUCUGCCCAAAUGCAAGGAAAAGGCUGAGAGAUCGGAAGAGAUUAGCAAAGCAUUCUGGGAAAAGAAUUAGCACAAUUUAGAUUAAACGAGAUAAAAGCUUGUGAGCUAAUCAGCAGCUAAUCCCAACACAUUAAAUGCUCACGGAAACUGACGGCUGGUCACGAUAUCGAGUUACCGCAUGAAAAGGCCCGUCGGUGACUCAGUUUCAACCGCGUCCACGGCGUACUCGCGAGUUUUUAGAGCGCAUUUAGAACAAAUUUUUAAAAAUAGGUCCAGGUCCACUUGUAAACCCUCAUUUUAUGAUGGAGGAGGGUUCAGUACAGGUGGGGUGUUCACAUAUGUCCAAAUAAACAGAACGACUGAACAUAUGCCAAUUGCAACACCGAUCAUCCUGUUCAAAAGUUUACACCCCCCUGGCUCUUAAUGUAUCGUGUUGCCUUCUUGACUAUCAGUGAAUGUUUGUUUGUAAUAGCUGUAAUGGAUCUGAGCAUCAUGUAGCCGCUGUUGGAAAGGGCUGAAGUAUGCAGAAGAUGCCGGAAAAGUAAAGACCGUGCAGGACCUGGAGGAUUUUUCUGAAGAACAGCGGGCAGUUUAACUGCUCAGGACAAACAAGGGGCUCGUGAAGAACGAUCACAAAUCAUAAAAACAGUCGUGGAUCAUCCAGGGUGUACCCCGUCUUGUGCCCCAUGCUCCCUGGGAUAGGUUCCAGGUUUCAACGUGACCCGGAAGGAAGGAUAAAGCGCUAUAGAAGAUGGAUAGAGUUAUUAUUGUGUCUUGUGGACUAUAUAUAUAUAUAUAUAUAUAUAUAUAUAUAUAUAUAUAUAAAUAUAUAUAUAUGCAUCUGUUAUGUGAACUAGGGCUAAAUAAAAAACAAAAUGCUAUUUUAUAUGGUCCCUCUUAUUUAAAAAAAAUAAAAACAAUGAACAUUUUGCAGAUCCGGCAAAGGCGUGUGUAAACGUUAUGACCUCAACUGUAUUCUCGACAUCCUCAAAGUAACACAGGUGUGAGUGAACGUGCCCUGAAAUAAAUUCCCAUGUUUCCACCUUACCGCGAACGUAUUUUGAUCGGACGAGAUACGUUCUUUAACAUGAGCCAUGAGGCUAAAGUAGCAUCAUGAAAAUUAGCCCUAAGUUUCCCUUACAUGAAAAAAUGAAAGCAGUACA